ensembl:lncRNA
AAGCUCAGAAUGAGGACUUGACUUCCUCAAGAUCAAAGAGCUUGUGAGGAAGUUACAGGCCUGCACCAGAUCCUAUGUAAUGUGCACAUUUCUCUAAACAUCUCAGCUGGGAUCAUCAUUCCCUGGAGCAUGUGUUAAAAGAUUCCACCCCUGGAGGAAAGAGGGAGAAGGAGAACCAUGGAGACAGCAGCUAAGUGAGAUCAAGAAACUCUGGGUCUCUGGGAGUUCCGCCGUCCAUUCCAAUGCCAGGGAGCCACAUGGCAGCCCAGUCAGUUGCCCUUCUCAUGGCCAUCUGCUGGGGAACACUCAUGGACAGGUUGCCACACAGUCAUGCAGGAGGAAGACAGCUCUUCUUUGACCAGAGAAUUUGCUUCAGUCCCUGAGACCCUUGGUGAUCCCUAGCACCUUGGGAAUGGAGUGGGGGCCAUAGACACAUAAGAGGCCCAUCAUGGAAGAGGAGGCCCUGAAGCUUCCAACUUUAUCCUUCAUGGGAAGAAGUAGAAAUAAUGAAGUAGGCUUCUAGCAUAACAGACCGUCAGAGCUGGGAAAGAACUCAGAGGUCACAGAACAGAACCAUCUCUUCCUUCUACCUGUCAGUUUAUCCAGCCACCCUUCCACCGAUUGGACAAACAUUUAUUGUCUCCCCAAAGUCAGGGAUCCUGCUAGGCACUGGGAGAUUCAACACUAUGCAAAACCAGACCCUGACCUUGUCCUCAGGAGGCUGACCUUCUAGUAAAAAGAAUGUCACUAAACACCUAAGAGAAACUAUUAGAUGUGGUUCAUUCAAGGUCAUGCAGAUGGUGAUAGAGUUUGAGUUCUCAGAGGGAGUUUAGAGAAGACCUUCUCAGG